rnacentral:rRNA from 1 species
ACGGGGCCCGCACAAGCGGUGGAGCAUGUGGUUUAAUUCGACGCAACGCGCAGAACCUUUACCUGGUCUUGACAUCCCGAGAAUUUUCUGGGAACAGAGAAGUGCCUCGCAAGAGGAAUUCGGUGACAGGUGGUGCAUGGUUGUCGUCAGCUCGUGUCGUGAGAUGUUGGGUUAAGUCCCGCAACGAGCGCAACCCCUAUUGUUAGUUGCCAUCAUUCAGUUGGGCACUCUAGCGAGACUGCCGGUAAUAAACCGGAGGAAGGUGGGGAUGACGUCAAAUCAUCAUGCCCCUUAUGACCUGGGCUACACACGUGCUACAAUGGUUGGUACAACGAGUUGCGAGUCGGUGACGGCGAGCUAAUCUCUUAAAGCCAAUCUCAGUUCGGAUUGUAGGCUGCAACUCGCCUACAUGAAGUCGGAAUCGCUAGUAAUCGCGGAUCAGCACGCCGCGGUGAAUACGUUCCCGGGCCUU